CACGUCGGUUUUGACAAAGUCGCAGUAAAAGAUAUAUGAGAGAAAUUAAAAAUAUAGAACAAAAGUAAAAAACAAAAAAUGCGUCCUGCAAAAAAGUCUUUUCUGGUACCAAGGAAUGGGAGGAAAUCUAAAGUGGGAUCAGAUUAUAUUGACGAAUUAGAAGAAUGGAAAAGAGGAAAACUGCUGCUAAAA